GCUAGAGGUCUUAGUCCCAGAGGGAGGAAUGCUGCCACCAAGAGACACAACAACGAUUCCAUUAAACUGGAAGUUAAGAUUGCCACCUGGACACUUCGUGCUCCUCCUACCUUCAAGUCAACAGGCUAAGAAAGGAGUUACAGUGUUGGCUGUGGUGAUUGACUUGGACUAUCAAGAUGAAAUCAGUCUACUACUGCACAACAGAGACAAAACCACAGUCAACAUGAAUUCCAAGUGGUAACACUUAGUGUCCUGGGAUGGAGUGCUGAGAGAAAUCCGGAGGAUUCAGAGAAGAUGACCAAAAAGGACUACUUCACAGGGCUCCCAUGUGCUCAGCUUGCAAUUGGAUUCAGCCACCAGAGAUCCCUGGCAAGAGAAUAAAGGUGGGUAGGAAAGCAAGGAUGAGCUAUUUGUGUAUCUAUCUUCCACCUGUAUGAUUCCUUUGGAUUGUCUAUGUCUUACUUACAAAGGUUCCUGCUGUCUUCAAAGUUGUCCCUCUCCACAGAGCUUUCUUGUCUCCAAUUAUGGACACCACUCUCUUACCUUAUCCUUUCAAGCUUCAGCUUAGUAAUAGUUAUUACUUACCCUGAGUUUACACAAUAACCUGUAUUUUACAAACAUUUUGCCCACA
rnacentral:lncRNA from 1 species